GGGUGUAUACAGAGGAGGGGUAUAUAGAGGAGGGGUGUAUACAGAGGAGGGGUAUAUAGAGAGGGGGUAUAUAGAGGAGGGGUGUAUAUAGAAGAGGGGUAUAUAGAGGAGGGUGUAUACAGAGGAGGGGUAUAUAGAGGAGGGGUGUAUAUAGAAGAGGGGUGUAGAGUGAGUGGUAACAAGAUCUUUUAUUUAUUAGACGCAGAUAGAUAUACUGACAAACCACACGGCAGCUAGAAUUUCAACAUCGCUAUUGUCCAUAUUCCCAAAAAUGUCCCAAACCUGCACAGUGAUGGUUUCCUGCAGACAGUAAGACCAUAUUCCUGCCCUGUCUCUUUCCCAGGCUGCUGUACGUAUUAUUACCAAGAACAUCUCAAUGUGCAGUCAAUAUAAAUGGCUUGUUUGAAAUUAUAAAUGGUCACGUCAAACAGGCAAAACCACCCACUAAAUAAUCCUAAAAUCUCAACAAAUGAUUUAAAGUGGAACUCUUGAGUUGAGGAAUUGUCGCUUUCCUGAUUUCUCUGGAAUUUAAAUAAAUCUUUAGACCGUGGAUUUUAGAAUCUGCCAGCAGGCGGACUGUAAUAAUAGAAUUAUUUAUUCCAUGUAAUACAAAGGGUUUGCAUCUCCCGUAUCAUUAGAGAUUGCUUUCAUUUGGUCACAACUAAUUUUAUUAACUUCUGCUCUUCCCCCAUCCUGCCAAGCGAGGGCUGAGGAUAACGAGUCCUGGCUCCUUGCUGUAUUAUUACAUUGUGCCUGAUUACAGGCGUUAGUCAUUCUGUUUGGCACCUCAAGGGGUACUAAAAAAAAAAAUUUGCCUUUGGAAUGAAAGCUUUACAUGAUGUUAAUCAAUCACUUUGCAUAAAAAGGUUGAAUUAGAGAUUGUUUUUUGGGGUAGAAUUCUGCUUUUUUACUUCCAUAUGGCCACUUGGCUGUGAACUUGGAGUUUUGCGUAUAAUUCCCAAAAUAUUUUUAUUCUCACAGUUGGGACACUGGAUAGAAUUUCAGUUUGCUGCUCUGCCAACAUAGUGAGGGUCUAAUUCUGGCUAUAAUCACCUUAAAUGCAUUCCUGAAAUCACUUGGUUAUUGGCUGAUCUUGGGUGGAAUGGCCAUUUCACCUGUUUUAUAGGCUUUUAUCUGUAACUCUCCAUUGAAAUCCUUAUCUGCUAUAAUCCUGGAACAGUUACUGAGCGCAUGUUUAGACACGGUAGAGUUGUUUUGUUUGUCGUUGCCUGAAUCUCAGUCUGAUUGUGGAAAGGCUUGAAAAAAACUAAUUUUUUAAUAGUAUGGACUUUGUCAUUUGACCCCCUUACUUUCUCUGGACCUCUUGAUUUCUUGUCUUUUUUUUCAGCUGAUAUUUACUGUGUUUUGGGGGGAUUCGUCCUUUAAGUUAAAUUGUCACCCCAUGCUUUGUGACAAUUUUAUACGUUUCAUUACCUAUCUCCCCUUAUACCAUGUUAGAUUGUCUCCUGUUUGCCCAAUUUUAGAGACAAUCCCCCCAGCUAGACAGUUUCAUUGUGAGAAUAUCUCCUUAUGAUAGUAUGUGUGACGGAAUGCUGGCACUCCGACUGAGUACCUCCGCCAAUCGAUGCUCCUAGUGCUCGCUGAGGACUCCAAGCACUCCAACUGACACUAUCAGCACUGCAGACCCCACUUCCAGCGAUGCAACUGCGCCGGGGUCUCUGCUGUCUCCACCCAACCUGGACCCAAGGCCAGGAUCCAGCUUCCAGUGGGUGAACCUCUCUUUCCCCAGAAAGCAGGAACAGGAACAAGCUCUUAGCAGAACUUAGUGAUCAUACCCUGGGGAGUAUAGUGAUUAUAGCAAUCCCCGGAGUGUAUUUCUCCAAUCCCGCAAACAUGAGCCAAGGCUUAAUGCUGGAACAAAACUGAUUUACUGGCACACAGAACUCACAAUUUAUGCAACACAAAACUCCUCCUCUGGGCCAGGCUAGAUAAUUGAGUUUCUACAAUACACAAAGCUCAAUUAUCUGCUGGCCAUAAAUAAUAGUUUCAUAAAACACAUCACAGGGACCCCAAAACAUGCAAUAACCCCAUAAGUAUAUCCUUGGAACCGGGGGAUCUGGGUGAACCACAUAUCCAAAAUUCACCCAGAUCCGUUCAGUACUUUGGAAAAUACAGUUUAAUGCAGAUUCAGCAGAACAUAUACAGGCUAAAUGAAAAACAAUCACUUUAUAAUGUGUCCCCUGCUGUAUAGUCCAAAACCACUGCACGAUGUCUCUGUGCACCAAAUACUGGCAAGAUGGCACCGUGUUGAAAAGUCCAAACAGUGUCUGUGAGUUAAAAUGGCCGCCAUCCAUUGUUCUGACCAUGUGCUUCUGAUACAGGAAAUGGUGGCCACCCAGUAACUCCACAGUAUGUCCUCAGAUGGUUCUUAAAGGGCCAGCAGCAGCACAACACAAAUCCAUUAUGCCCAAAUCAUGUCUUUAAAGGGCAAUACAUCCCAGGGGCCAUAGUCACAGGGCAAGAGGCGGGCAAGCAGUCCUCUCCAGGCACAAGUGGCGAAGGGCACUUCGUCACAGUAUGUAUGGAUGGGAUACUCCCGAUAGGAAUAUCUAUGGAUAGACUGGAUGAUGGGAUACUCCUGAUUGGAAUAUCUAUGGAUGGCAGUGGAUGAUGGGAUACUCCCGAUGGGAAUAUCUAUGGAUGGCAGUGGAUGAUGGGAUACUCCUGAUAGGAAUAUCUGUGGAUGACAGGAUACUCUUGAUGGGAAUAUCUAUGAAUGGAGUGGAUGAUGGGAUACUUCCGAUGGGAAUAUCUAUGGACGGAGUGGAUGAUGGGAUACUCUCGAUAGAAAUAUCUAUGGAUGGCGGUGGAUGAUGGGAUACCCCCGAUGGGAAUAUCUAUGGAUAGCAGUGGAUGAUUGGCUACUCCCGAUGGGAAUAUCUAUGGAUGGAGUGGAUGAUGGGAUACUCCCGAUAGGAAUAUCUAUGGACGGAGUGGAUGAUUGGAUACUCCUGAUGGGAAUAUCUUUGGAUGGCAGUGGAUGAUGGGAUACUCCCGAUGGGAAUAUCUGUGGAUGGAGUGGAUGAUGUGAUACUCCCGAUGGGAAUAUCUAUGAAUGGAGUGGGUGAUGGGAUACUCCCGAUGGGAAUAUCUAUGAAUGGAGUAGAUGAUGGGAUACUUCCGAUGGUAAUAUCUAUGGACGUAGUGGAUGAUGGGAUACUCUCAAUAGAAAUAUAUAUGGAUGGCAGUGGAUGAUGGGAUACCCCCGAUGGGAAUAUCUAUGGAUGGCAGAUGAUUGGCUACUCCCGAUGGGAAUAUCUAUGGAUGGCAGUGGACGAUGGGAUACUCCCGAUGGGAAUAUCUAUGAAUGGAGUGGAUUAUGGGAUACUCCUGAUGGGAGUAUCUAUGGACGGAGUGGAUGAUGGGAUACUCCCGAUUGAAAUAUCUAUGGAUGGCAGUGGAUGAUGGGAUACCCCGAUGGGAAUAUCUAUGAAUGAAGUAGAUGAUGGGAUACUCCCGAUGGGAAUAUCUAUGAAUGGAGUGGAUGAUGGGAUACUCCCGAUGGGAAUAUCUAUGGACGAAGUGGAUGAUGGGAUACUCCUGAUAGAAAAAUCUAUGGAUGACAGUGGAUGAUGGGAUACCCCCGAUGGGAAUAGCUAUGGAUGGCAAUGGAUGAUGAGAUACCCCCGAUGGGAAUAUCUAUGGACGCAGUGGAUGAUGAGAUACUCCCGAUGAGAAUAGCUUUGAAUGGAGUAUAUGAUGGGAUGCUCCCAAUGGGAAUAUCUAUUGAUGGCAGUUGAUGAUGGGAUACUCUCAAUGGGAAUAUCUAUGGAUGGCAGUGGAUGAUGGGAUACCCCGAUGGGAAUAUCUAUGAAUGAAGUAGAUGAUGGGAUACUCCCGAUGGGGAUAUCUAUGAAUGGAGUGGAUGAUGGGAUACUCCCGAUGGGAAUAUCUAUGGACGAAGUGGAUGAUGGGAUAGUCCCGAUAGAAAUAUCUAUGGAUGGCAGUGGAUGAUGGGAUAUCCCCGAUGGGAAUAGCUAUGGAUGGCAAUGGAUGAUAAAAUACUCCCGAUGGGAAUAUCUAUGGACGCAGUGGAUGAUGAGAUACUCCCGAUGGGAGUAUCUUUGAAUAGAGUAUAUGAUGGGAUGCUUCCGAUGGGAAUAUCUUUUGAUGGCAGUUGAUGAUGGGAUACUCUCAAUGGGAAUAUCUAUGGAUGGCAGUGGAUGAUGGGAUACCCCCGAUGGGAAUAUCUAUGGACGGAGUGGAUGAUGGGAUACUCCCGAUGGGAGUAUCUUUGAAGGGAGUGGAUGAUGGGAUACUCCUGAGGGAAAUGGCGGCUAUGAAAACCUGUUAAACUAAGCAAAUUAUACCAGUUGGGUAGGAGGUUUGUGCUGAGAUGAGUCAAACAGAAAUGAGGAUGUUGAUUAAAUUCUAGAACUGUGCUUCUUACCUUUGGUUUGGGACCUAAGAGGCAUUUCAGAAUUUAUCUUGUUAUAUAACAGUCAGAUUUAUCUUGUUACAUACAGUCCGAUAUGUAAGACAGAGUGGCCGUGAUCAAGGUAUUCAUUUAGCUUGCACAUCUGGUCAAUGAUGGGUGUCUAGAUUUCGAAUGUCUGAUACAGUUAGUGAAAAUCUCAAGGACACAACAUCUCUUUUAUAAGUGACUAAUUAUCCAUAAAUCAUAUCACUAAAGGGACAGUAAUGGACCAUGGUAUAUUUAACAUUAGACACAGGUUUGGAACAGACGUGCUCUCACAAGAUGGACCAAAUGUUUGUGCAGACAGCUGAUAUUCCAGGUACAGGCAAAGAUCGAGACAUGGAAUACAUCCGGAGUCGUCAAACAAUCCAGGUCAUCGGACUAAAGAAGUACCUAGGUUAAUAGGCUAGAGGUAGGUAGCCUAACUGUAGAACACAUUGGUUGGUUGUUGAUGUGGCAAGGCAGGUCAUAAUCAGGUUUCUCUUGGUUAAGAGUAGGUACUGAGUAUAUUUACAGACAGUGUAUCGGAGUGCAGGAACAUCACAUGGAUUUCAAUUUUGAGAGUUUAAUGUCCAUUAUUAAAAAAAAAUAAAAAUUAAAUUGUGUGGUGCUUAGUGAAGUCAGGGAGACAGUGACCCCAAGCGAGGAGAUAUAGCGGAGCUUAUUUGUAGAGAUUAAGAAACACCUAACAUAUCAGGUAUUUAUAACAUCCUAGAGAACAGCCAACCUCCGAGGUAUCUCCCUGUGGACUGUUUGCAGUGGGUCCCUGGGUUCUAUCCCACACAUCCAGCAUUGGUUGAGUCUGUGAGAUUGGCUUCUGUCACUCAUACAUUGCUAUCUUGGUCUUUCUGAGAUGCCAUGACCCAGGAUCUCUGUCUCUUUUCAUGCUUUGCUUUAUACUUACUCUGGCAUGAUGGGGUGUGCCAGCCAUUACCAUUUACCCCAAUGAAUUGAUGUAAACUGAACAUAACGGCAAUAAGGUACUGUAAUUCUGGACAAAUAAUCCCCAUUUCCUGUAUAAAUAACUCUGUCUGCUUUAAUCUGUUCUAAACCAUUUAAUGAGCUGUAUUACUGACAGACUGCGGAAUAGAAUGUGCGACUGACAUAUAUCUGAUUGUAUAUAUUCUAGAUUGUAUAUCGCUGGGAACACAGGUUGAUAUGCUGUGUUUGCGCCUAUCUUCCAUGUAAAGAAUAAUAUGUUCGCUGCUAACAAUGAGAGAUCGGAGAGGGGAUUCGUGGGGUUUUACAGACCAAACACGGAAUCUCUUGUGGUCCUAAAAUGCCUUUUUUAAACCUUGUGACUGUUACUAAACAACGAGGAGGAAAGCCGGGAGUGGAGGUGGGAGUGCAGACUUCCAUAUAUUUGCAUGUAUCACAAACUAAUCAAUCGAUUCGAUUUAGACUUUCCAGAUAGACCUGUGAAAGGUUAAGAUGACCAGUUCUUGUCUUCCUGCUAUUAACAUUUAGUAAAUGGUUCAAGAUCCACCAAGUGUUUUGUAAUGACUCCAUUGAAUUAGAAUUAAUAUUUUUUACCUCAUUAAUUGUAUAAUUGUCCCUUAUUUAGAAAAGGCACCCUUUUUGCAUGAUGAAAACAAGAUUGAAUAUCUGGAGAUAAGCAAUGAAACUCCAUCGAUACCCUUCCCCCAUCUUUAGCGUAAUUAUCUCGCUAGCAUAGAGGUUGUUAGGCUUAGCGUGGCGCUAAAUGCUGCUCACCCAUUCACCAUCAACGGACAGACUAUCCAUCAACAAAGUGGAGAUCUCUCUUAUUAAGCCAUUAGAAGACAGUUUUUCCUAAAAUGACAGUCUUCUCUAACACUGGGUCCAAGUGAGGAGGCAUAACAUGUAAAUAUUGCUCUCCUACUGCCUCUCAUUAGUCGUGGGUUAUUUUAUUUGGUGUAGGGACGUUCGACAUUCAAUACUAUGCACAGAUCUUCCUCAGCAUGUGUCUGAAUGCAGAAUGUAGAGGUUUUGUAGAAAUAUUAUUUAAAAACAAAAAACUUAUUUAAAUGAAUGAUAAUGCAAAUAAUAAACCAAAUAUUACAAUAUAUGUUACUUUGUGUCCACUUUGUUGAAACUUUGCAAAAUUUGGAUGCUUUCUAUAUUCACUGCAAAUGACGACAUGUUUUAUUGAAGAAGGUGAAUGAAACAAAUUGAACUUGAACGUAUGUAAUAUAUGAUCAAUGUAUGUCAUGUAUGACCAACGUAUGUCAUGUAUGAUCAACGGAUGUCAUGUAUGAUCAACGUAUGUCAUGUAUGACCAAUGUAUGUCAUGUAUGAUCAACGUAUGUCAUGUAUGACCAACGUAUGAUCAAUGUAUGUCAUGUAUG
rnacentral:lncRNA from 1 species